rnacentral:rRNA from 1 species
UACGUAGGGGGCAAGCGUUGUCCGGAUUUAUUGGGCGUAAAGAGCGUGUAGGCGCCAGACAGGUCCGUUGUGAAAACUCGAGGCUCAACCUCGAGACGCCGAUGGAAACCGUCUGGCUAGAGUCCGGAAGAGGAGAGUGGAAUUCCUGGUGUAGCGGUGGAAAUGCGCAGAUAUCAGGAGGAACACCGGUGGCGAAGGCGGGUCUCUGGGCCGAUACUGACGCUGGAGGAGCGAAAGCGUGGGGAGCGAACAGG